AUGGCGCCGGGGUUCACCAAGUUUGUUUUGGAGAAAUUCGAUGGCACGGGUAACUUCGGUCUAUGGCAGACAAGAGUCAAGGAUAUUCUGGCGCAACAAGGAAUCUUGAAGGGUUUGCAGGAGACGAAGCCGGCCAAGGUUGACAAUGAUGUGUGGGAGGAUAUGCAAGUGCAGGCGGCCGCUACCAUACGGCUUUGUCUUGCGGAUCAGGUCAUGUAUCAUGUCAUGGACGAAGAUACUCCUAAGGGAAUUUGGGACAAGUUGGCAAAUCGUUAUAUGUCCAAGUCAGCGACCAAUAAGCUGUAUUUAAAGCAAAAGUUCUAUGGGCUGAAGAUGCAGGAGGGGUCGGAUCUUGUGGAGCAUGUGAAUGCCUUUAAUCAG
rnacentral:rRNA from 1 species